AACGGGUGAGUAACACGUGAGGAACCCUACCUCCCGANAGGGGGGAUAACACUUAGAAAUAGGUGCUAAUACCGCAUAAGACCACGACCGGGCAUCCGGAUGGGGGUCAAAGGAGCAAUCCGCUGAGAGAUGGCCUCGCGUCCGAUUAGGUAGUUGGUGAGAUAACAGCCCACCAAGGCGACGAUCAGUAGCCGACCUGAGAGGGUGAUCGGCCACAUUGGGACUGAGACACGGCCCAAACUCCUACGGGAGGCAGCAGUGGGGAAUAUUGCACAAUGGGCGAAAGCCUGAUGCAGCGACGCCGCGUGAGCGAUGAAGUAUUUCGGUAUGUAAAGCUCUAUCAGCAGGGAAGAAAAUGACGGUACCUGACUAAGAAGCACCGGCUAAAUACGUG
rnacentral:rRNA from 1 species